GGUAGAAGUAAGGUGUGGAAACAAGCCGCUCCAAUUUGUUGAAUAAAACACGCAUCCCAGUAGGCUUAUUUACUACGAAAUAGUAUGCAGCACAGUAUGUCCAUCUAUGUAUUAACAUUUCAACUUGUCAGUGUAUUUAUGAAUGAAAUAAGUGACAGAUUCGUUGGAGGGAAAAUAAAUCACAGCACUACGGUUUGUGGUUGGUCUUUGGUGUGAAUCGUGUGAUUGGUGGAUGAUUCGACAUUUGUGAUUGGGUAAUAAAUGACAUUGGCAUAAAUGUCAAAGAUUUAAUACAGUUUUCUAUUACUUAAUUUCAACUGAUCUCUCUAGACGUCGCUGCGGUGUGGACAGAUAAUGACAUAUAAUCCAAACCACGCGAUUUGUGUUUUCUACCAAUGAUUUUGAGGAAAGUUAUGAAUGAGGUUUCCACACCUUACUUCUACCACCGUGCUGGUGACAUAUUUGGUGACCUGUCAAUAUAAUGUCAGUUCAUUCAUGUAUUCGCGACACAUGAUUACGUUCGACUUCACUGCAAUUCUUGCACUCCUGCACAGGUUAUUUCAUAAUUAUCAUUGUAACUUGUCGCAAUAUUGUACAAACUGAUAAACAAUUUUCAAUAAAAACAGGAUAACCUGAGUCUUCAUGGUAAUUAUAAUACAAGAGCAACGAUAAAUAGAAACGUGUUUUAUCUUUCAUCUGUAGAAAGAAUGCCACCUGCUGUAAUUUAGACUUGCAGUCGAUACGUUUACGAAUUACGAUAAAAUGAACCCAAAAAUAUUGUGGUCACGAAUGAAAUCAAAUAUUGGGCUGGUAAAAAAACAAGAUGGGGAAUAACUGAGAUAUUCAGAAUUUGUUUAAAUUAUUGUACAUGAGUAUACGUGAUAAUUAUAUGUGUGGCUAACUAUGACUCGAAGGAUCAGCUCUCUCGACUGAAAUGAUCAAUCUCGCGAGCAACACCAAAAUUGUCUAUAAUGGGUAGAUCACCUUAAUUAGUUGCAAUGGAUGACCAAUUUUUCCUCAAAAAAAUGGGACACCAACAAGUCUUUAAUGUUAUGUUUAAUAACUCUAAUAUUUGGUACUACUUAUUAUUUACAAAAUGUACAAGGGAUUUGGUUGAAGGCGAUAGGUCUGGCUAUGCUCCUCCGUCCUGACGAUUUUAGUGGUAAUAAUGAACAAAAUGUAACUUCACAAAAUUCAGAGGCUAAAAUAAUAGGUAUGUUGAAAAUAAUUUGACGGCUUAUUUAAACUUACUGUUACAGGAGUGGUUAGAAACAUUGGGAACACAUAGACCAAAUAACCAAAAAGCAAUUAUUUUUCUGUUGUUAACUUUCUUAAAUCUGAAUCCCAUGGAUUUUAAUACUCAACGUAAAGUAUUUAAACUUGCUGUAUAUUCUGGAUGUUCUUUCGCAAAAAUAAACAAAUCCUGAAGAGUAAAAAACUCA